AGGCAGAGCGGCUUGGCAUCGCGGUUGCAGCCUGAGGUGGCGGACGCGGAGGUGUGGUGUUGCCGUACACAGCAGCAGCAGCAGCAGACUGCCAGGGUGGUGAAGCUGCGGAGGCUGCAGUGGACUUUUUGCGGACUGCUGAGCUGUCCAGCAGUAGCGCCCGCUCCUCCUCCUCCGCUGUCAUGUCGUUCGCGAGGACGCGG
rnacentral:lncRNA from 1 species